UUACCUACGGGAGGCAGCAGUGGGGAAUAUUGGGCAAUGGGCGCAAGCCUGACCCAGCAACGCCGCGUGAAGGAAGAAGGCUUUCGGGUUGUAAACUUCUUUUAAGAGGGAAGAGAAGAAGACGGUACCUCUUGAAUAAGCCACGGCUAACUACGUGCCAGCAGCCGCGGUAAUACGUAGGUGGCAAGCGUUGUCCGGAAUUACUGGGUGUAAAGGGAGCGCAGGCGGAUUGACAAGUUGGGAGUGAAAACUACGGGCUCAACCCGUAACCUGCUUUCAAAACUGUCAGUCUUGAGUGGUGUAGG
rnacentral:rRNA from 1 species